rnacentral:lncRNA from 10 species
GGAGAGUGCUAAGAAUCGCGCGGCUGGCAGGUGCGGCCACCGGGACGCGCUCGCAGGCUAGCCAGGGACGUGCGCACCUUCGGGGCGCUCCACAGCCCUGGGACGACGCCACCAGGUUUCUUCUCUUCAUUCACUCACCCACCCACCCACCCAUCCAUCCAACCGCAGCAAGCGCUGUUCUAUGAGGCCACAACCUGACCCAAAGGACCCCGCCCCCAUCGGCCGCCUAAACUCCAGAGCACGAGCAAGAAAGUGGAGGGCCACGGGCUGCAGCGUAGCCGAGUUUGAAUACUGGUUCCAUAGCUGGCUAGCUGUACGACCUCGGGCAAGUUAUCACAAAACAGGGAGAAUCCCGGCACCUAACUCGGAACGGUCACAGGCUGAGAUGAUAUUACUGUGUGAAGUGCGCAGAGCGGUGUUGGGCACAUGGUCAUCGGAACUAUUCAUUUUUUAGCAUAGUAAAAGAGAGAAACCAGAGAGAAUGAAUUCUAACACUCAAGUUUUGGGGGGAAAGAAAAGACUUUAUUCUUUGCAGGGGGUUUAGAGCUUUACCUGAAUUAUCUCAUUUAACCCUCACAAUUCUCAAAUCGUUUCAUUAUCAUAUUUUACAGAUAAGAACUGAAGCGUGGCAAGAUUAAGGAAGUUGCUCAACUUCACAUAGUCAGAACAUGACUCUAGGGAGUAGAGGCUAGCGAAGUGGGGUGCAAGAGGUCAUCCAAAUUUCUUGAAAUACCAGAUCUUUUUACCUCAUCAUAUAUGUUAGAUUGUCAGUUUUAUCGUUUUCUUCCCAGCUUUAUUAUUUGACAAAAAAUUAUAUAUAUUCAAGGUGUACAAUGUGAUGACUGGAUAUAAUUAUACAUUGUGUAAUGAUUACCAAAAUCAAAUUAAGUAAAACAUCCUUCACUAAUUUAUGUAGUAGUUCGGUGGGGGGGCACUUAAGCAAAUUUGUCUUAGCAAACUUCAAGUAAACAAUACAGAAUUAUUAGCUAUAGUCAACAUGUUGUACAUUAGAUUCCCAGAACUUGUCUUAAAACUGAAAACUUGUACCAUUUGAGAGAGAAGUUUUAGUGUUACUGAAAUCACAGACUUCUGACAGAAUUUGCAGGAUGCUAUACACAACUACACAAAAGUGCAAACAAUAGUUUCUUGGACCAAGAGUCAAAAAGGUCACUUUUUUAAUAUAUUAGUCAAGCAGACAGGGCUAUACUUUAUAAAUAAAUACACAUUAUCUGGGGAUAAGUGUUUAAAAAAUUCUUUACUCAUAUAAUACAAAACAGGCUUGGGGAUCAGUCUUGAAGCAUGAAUUUUUACCCAGUGGGCCAUGUUGAGGGGGUUGCAGCACAGGCCCAGAAAGGAAAGCAGGCUGGGGCUCUGAGGGCUUGUGAGACGAGGACGCUGGGCUGAGAAGAUAGGGCUUCACUAGGCGGAGGGCCCCAGGGUACCCCAUACACAAGCCUGCCUUGGCUUCUCGUCCAAUUUGGUGCAUCUCACACUACACAGCCCUGCCCCACCCUGGUGUCAGCAGGCAUUCAGAAAGCCUCACACUUCUGCUCCAGUGAACACUGCCAGGAUAGCCCUCUGAACUUCCACCCACCCAUCUUCUGCCCAUUUGUUUUCUUUGUCUUCAAUUCCACUGCUACCCAUCCUACCCCAGUCCCUUAGCCUGACAAGGCCCAAGUGUCUCCACCCUGUGCUGCAGGGCAGUUAAGCAGGAUCAGAUGCCGUGCCAAUGGCCUGCUCUGAGCUUUGGCCUCUCUCUGCAGUUGUAUCUAAUAGAACAAAUACAGUAAUUGUGGAGCUGAGCUUAAAAUAUUCAGACCUCAGGUUUCAGAGUCUGACUGGCAUGGGUUUGACACCUGCCUCUUAGAAGCUCUACUUCUGGCCAGGCACGGUGGCUCACGCCUGUAAUCCCUGCACUUUGGGAGGCCAAGGCAGGUGGAUCACGAGGUCAGGGGUUUGAGACCAGCCUGACCAACAUGGUGAAACCCCAUCUCUACUAAAAAUACAAAAAUUAGCUGGGUGCAGUGGUGGGCGUCUGUAAUCCCAGCUACUCAGGAGGCUGAGGCAGGAGAAUUGCUUGAACCCAGGAGGCAAGGCUGCAGUGAGCCAAGAUCGCACCACUGCACUCCAUCCUGGGUGACAGAGCAAGACUGUCUCCAAAAAAAAAAAAAAAAAAAAAAUUAGCCAGGCAUGGUGGCGUGCACCUGUAGUCCCAGCUACUCAGAAGGCUGAGGCAAGAGAAUCGCUUGAACCUGG